UACGAAGGGGGCUAGCGUUGUUCGGAAUUACUGGGCGCAAAGGGCGCGUAGGCGGUCCUGAUCGUCGGAUGUGAAAGGCCUGGGCUCAACCUGGGAACUGCAUCCGAUACGGCGGGACUGGAGUGUGGGAGAGGUUGGUGGAAUUCCCAGUGUAGAGGUGAAAUUCGUAGAUAUUGGGAAGAACACCGGUGGCGAAGGCGGCCAACUGGACCACAACUGACGCUGAGGCGCGAAAGCGUGGGGAGCGAACAGG
rnacentral:rRNA from 1 species